ensembl:lncRNA
CUCCAGUGGAGAACUCAUGUUCCUAAUGAAAUGGAAGAACUCUGAUGAGGCUGAUCUGGUCCCUACCAAGGAAGCCAAUGUCAAGUGCCCACAGGUUGUCAUAUCCUUCUGUGAGGAAAGGCUGAUGUGGCAUUCUUACCCCUCAGAGGAUGAUGACAAAAAAGAUGAUAAGAAUUAACUUUCUUGAAUACCAGCUCCUGUCACAUCUGACUGUGGGUUUCAAGUGGGGAAAGAAGGAGUUCUCCUUGUCUUGACACCAUAAAGGUGGCUUGAGAAGAUGUCCUUUGAAGAGCCAGUAUAGUUUCUGUGCCCUACAGCAGCCCAAGGGCUUCAAAGCCGUUCCAUGCUGUACAGUUUGCACACCCAUCCCGGUAGAGGGGAAGGAGGGUCAGUGUUUCAAGGCAACCCGUUCUGAACUUUGCUUUAAAAAAAAGCAAAGGGCCUUCUAUGAAGGACAAAACGUAGAAUGGGAUGUGGGAGAGCAAGAGGUACUGUAGAUCUUCAAAGAGCAUCUCCACAACCCACACAGCCUUCUUCUCGAUAGUGUUAACUCUGCAUUUUUACAGCGUAGCAUGUGUGUAGUUUUGGGCUAUUACUGGUGUAUUAUUUGGGGUGGGUGGGGUGGGGUGGGAAAGAAGGGAGAUGGGUUAGGAUCAUUUUUGUUAAAAUUUGGGGAAACGGUGAAACAAAGGAAAGAACAACUAAUGAUGAUUGGGUUCUGUGUCCAGAAUAUUGUAUCCUUUCAAAAAAUGUCAUUGACAACCUAAAUGAGGACUGUGAGAGACUGUUUAAAAGCUGUGAAUGCCUGAAACUUAGAAGCCAAGGUAUUCCCUGCCUGAGCUUAAUGCUGUUGCCAAACAAAGGAAUAAGAAGCUACCAAAGCUGCCAUUUGGGGGAUGGAAACUGGUUGAGGAGGAUAAGUCUUAUUGGAGUGUAUACACAGGCAGAUCAUUCUGUCUUAGAGGUGCUACUCAUGAAACUGACAAGAAAACCCUUUCUUUUCCUAUUGUGAAGUUACAAAUAUCAGCUUCUCCAUCCAAGCCACUGGUGAAGUAUUUAGGGAAGGGCAGAGAGUGGUAUAGGAGGUAAGUGAGUAGGGAAAGACAAAGGCCGGUGCUCAUAGGGUGGAAAACUCUUGGAGCCUCUGUUUUUUGAACUUUGAAACCAUUGGUGGCAGGGUUCAGUCACUGACAGCACAAGUUCAAGAGUUGAAUGAUUUCAAAAGCCCUGGUCUCAGGAGAAGAUAAAUAUUCAUACUGGGGCAGUGGUUCACUUUAAAACAAAACAAAUUUUUUAAUCCUAAGAACUAACUAAAAUCCAAAAUGCUGUCUUGAGUCAUGAGAUCCAUCAGUUGUUGACAUCACCUUGAUCUGCAUCUAGAACUCCAUUGUAAUUUUUAGGCGUGUGUUAGGUUUUUGUGAAAAGUUGUUUAAAUGUAAACUUCAUAUCAAC